rnacentral:rRNA from 1 species
CCACCCUUUAAUGUUUGAUGUUCUAACGUGGACCCGUGAUCCGGGUUGCGGACAGUGUCUGGUGGGUAGUUUGACUGGGGCGGUCUCCUCCUAAAGAGUAACGGAGGAGCACGAAGGUUGGCUAAUCCUGGUCGGACAUCAGGAGGUUAGUGCAAUGGCAUAAGCCAGCUUGACUGCGAGCGUGACGGCGCGAGCAGGUGCGAAAGCAGGUCAUAGUGAUCCGGUGGUUCUGAAUGGAAGGGCCAUCGCUCAACGGAUAAAAGGUACUCCGGGGAUAACAGGCUGAUACCGCCCAAGAGUUCAUAUCGACGGCGGUGUUUGGCACCUCGAUGUCGGCUCAUCACAUCCUGGGGCUGAAGUAGGUCCCAAGGGUAUGGCUGUUCGCCAUUUAAAGUGGUACGCGAGCUGGGUUUAGAACGUCGUGAGACAGUUCGGUCCCUAUCUGCCGUGGGCGCUGGAGAACUGAGGGGGGCUGCUCCUAGUACGAGAGGACCGGAGUGGACGCAUCACUGGUGUUCGGGUUGUCAUGCCAAUGGCACUGCCCGGUAGCUAAAUGCGGAAGAGAUAAGUGCUGAAAGCAUCUAAGCACGAAACUUGCCCCGAGAUGAGUUCUCCCUGAGACUUUAGGUCUCCUGAAGGAACGUUGAAGACGACGACGUUGAUAGGCCGGGUGUGUAAGCGCAGCGAUGCGUUGAGCUAACCGGUACUAAUGAACCGUGAGGCUUAACCUUACAACGCCGAAG